rnacentral:lncRNA from 1 species
CCUGUUCGGCUGUCGCCGUUGAGCGCCAUGGCUUCAGCGGUCAGGUUUUCCGUCGUUUCUAGAUUUCGAUUCGUCUGUUAGGGCUCGGUUUAUUCCUGCGAUAUUGAUGAUUUAUUUCGAUGGAUUACGUUUGUUAUCGGUGUGUGAUUUUAGGGUUUGGAUUCUUGGCGAUGGGGAUUUUUCUUGCCAGGUUAAAAUUUUUGAUCUAACGAUGCUUGAAGGUUGAAUUUCCUUAUAUAUUUCAAUUUUUUGGAUUGCGUUUCCGGUUUUGAUUCAUCUGUUUGGGAUUGAUUGAUUGAUUCUGCGUUCGUAGUGCUGUCGGUGUGUUUCUAGGGUUUGGUGGCUGGAUUCGUGGCAAUCGCCUCAUUCUAACAGGUUUAAUAAAGUUUGGAUCUGUCGGUGUGUUUCUAGGGUUUGUUGGCUGGAUUCGUGGCAAUCGCCUCUUUCUAACAGGUUUAAUAACGUUUGGAUCUGAUUAUUUUUCAAAGGUUGCGAAUUCCCAAUCGAAUUUUGUGGAUAUUGAUGGAUUUUGAUAUCUCAUCUUAAAUCUGUUGAUCUGCUUUUGGGUUUUUUGAUUUGGUGUGGUGGUUCCAGGGCGUUUUGGAUUCAAUAACUGGUUCAGCUAGGAGUUCGAUUUGAAGAUUCUCUAUUUACCCUGGGUUUUUGCGUAUCUUCUGUUACCUCAUUGAAGUUUAUGAAAUGAUGAUUUAGUUUAGAAAUUUUGAUCCCCAUCCCAUAUAUGUCCGAAUAAAUGGAGCUUUGUUGUUAACUUUCAGGCAUGGAUUGCGGGUUUCAGUCGCAUAGAUGUCUUAAGACUCGAGCGGUUAGGUAUUGUAUUUGGCUAAUGUUUUGAUGGCGUUCUUGUGUGAUUGCUCUGUGGUUGGGUUUGUACUCCUGUUUUCGCGAUAAAAAUCUUUUGAUGCCUCCCUUUCUUCUUAAAUGUUUAUUUUCCUCCUCUCUCAUUCAAAAAUCGUUCUAAAUUUUAUUACCUUCUAUUGGCAGAUACUAAAUUGGGAAUUUGUACGGUAUUAUCAAGCUGGCAUUAUUUUACACGUAAAUUGGGAAUAUGUUCAAAUCGGGUUUAAUGUCCUCAAUAUUGAUUAUUUCCAUUCAAUUCUGCAUCUUUUUGCAGUCGCUCGUUUUCAGAUCUUUUUAUUUCUUUCCUCAGAUUUAUUUUCCUAUCUCAGAAAAUGUUUGGCCUACGUUUAUUUUUGUUUAGCAGCUACUUUUUAAUUUUUAUUCCUAAAUAAAUAUUGGCUAUUAUGUAUUUUAAGGCUUCUUGCCCACAGCUUUUGUUUUAUAGUUCUAAGAGUCUUGAAGGUUUCGUUUUUUGUUUAGCAGCGUCUUAUGCAAAUGCGUUCUAAUUCUUCUUAGCCAGUCACAGCUAAGAUUUUUUGUAGAUGAAAAAUGUUUCAGGGAGCUGGAGGUGUCUCGGUUUGUUUAUGCACCCUGCUUGGCUUCUUGUUUCUGUUAAAUGUCCAUUACAUUCGAUUGCUGUGUUGUCCUGCCCUUGAUGUUUAGUGCAGAUUCAUCAACAGGGUUCUAACUUCACUCUAUGAGUGGGCACUUAAAGAAGGGGUUUCUCUUGGCUUUUGAUUCUUUUUUUUUUUGUAUUUUAGAGCGUAUAGGUUUUGUGCCACAAUCUGAGCAGUUCUUUUGUCUGCAGACACAUUUUAUUCUUGUUGAGGGAGAGCUGGGUGUUUCAAAGAUGGGGUUUGAGUGGUUCUGAGUGUGAUUUAACUUUUAUGAAUUUGAGCCAUUGUUAUAUCAAUGAUCUUAUUAAAAAAAUUUCUGGUUACAGUUUCGCUGGGUCGAGGAAAAUGGCUGCCUGAUUUAAAGGGGGUUUGUUUCUUUGCUUAUGUUUUAACUGUAUUCUUAGGGCUUAUGAGAUCUAGCACCAUUAUUUGUGGAAUAUUCUUUGCAGAUGAUGUAUCUUGUUUGUUUAUGAAGUCUAAUCUUGUUGGAGCAGAACAUGCUGGUUUGGAGGGGGUCUAAGUGCUUUCUUGCUUUUUAAUUGAAUACUCAUUCAUUUGAUUUGUUUGGUCCUACGUUUGUGUCUACCCAUUCUUGUUUGUAUGCAGAUGUGGGUCGAAGUGCACCUUGUUAGGAUUCUACAGUUUGGGAGCUUUGUGUGGCUUGGUUUGUUUAUUCACCCUGAUUGGCUUCUUGUUUCUGUUAAAUGACCAUUACAUUCGAUUUCUGUGCUGUCCUUCCUUUGGUGUCUUAUGCAGAUGCAUAGCUGAGUCCUAACUCUAUCCAUCCCUAGUAAAGAGUGUCGGAGUUUCACUUCUUUAAAACAUGAGCGGGCAGAAUUUUAAUAGGGGGUUCCUCUUGGCUUAUGAUUCUAUUUUUGUAUUUUAGAGCGAAUGGAUCUUGCCAUAAUCUGAGCAAUGUUUCCUUAUGCAGACACAUUCUAAUCUUUUUGGAAGGAGAACAUGCUGCUUCAAAGCGGGGGUUUGAGUGGUUUUCGAUUGAUUUAAUUUUAUGUGAUUUUGAAACAUUAUUUGAACAAUGAUCUUUUCAAAUAUUUUCUGGCUAUGCAGUUUCCCUCAGUUGAAGGAAAAUGGCUGCCUGAUUUAAAAGGGGGGUUUCUUGGCAUAUGUUUCAAUCUCUUGGCUUAUGAUUCUAUUUUUGUAUUUUAGAGCGUAUGGAUCUUGCCAUAAUCUGUGCAAUGCUUCCUUAUGCAGACACAUUCUAAUCUUUUUGGAAGGAGAACAUGCUGCUUCAAAGCGGGGGUUUGAGUGGUUUUCGAUUGAUUUAAUUUUAUGUGAUUUUGAAACAUUAUUUGAACAAUGAUCUUUUCAAAUAUUUUCUGGCUAUGCAGUUUCCCUCAGCUGAAGGAAAAUGGCUGCCUGAUUUAAAAGGGGGUUUCUUGGCAUAUAUUUCAAUCUCUUGGCUUAUGAUUCUAUUUUUGUAUUUUAGAGCGUAUGGAUCUUGCCAUAAUCUGUGCAAUGCUUCCUUAUGCAGACACAUUCUAAUCUUUUUGGAAGGAGAACAUGCUGCUUCAAAGCGGGGGUUUGAGUGGUUUUUCGAUUGAUUUAAUUUUAUGUGAUUUUGAAACAUUAUUUGAACAAUGAUCUUUUCAAAUAUUUUCUGGCUAUGCAGUUUCCCUCAGUUGAAGGAAAAUGGCUGCCUGAUUUAAAAGGGGGUUUCUUGGCAUAUGUUUCAAUCUCUUGGCUUAUGAUUCUAUUUUUGUAUUUUAGAGCGUAUGGAUCUUGCCAUAAUCUGAGCAAUGCUUCCUUAUGCAGACACAUUCUAAUCUUUUUGGAAGGAGAACAUGCUGCUUCAAAGCGGGGGUUUGAGUGGUUUUCGAUUGAUUUAAUUUUAUGUGAUUUUGAAACAUUAUUUGAACAAUGAUCUUUUCAAAUAUUUUCUGGCUAUGCAGUUUCCCUCGGUUGAAGGAAAAUGGCUGCCUGAUAUAAAAGGGGGUUUCUUGGCAUAUGUUUCAAUCUCUGUUUUCUUAAUGGCUUAUGAGAUCUAGCACCAUUAUUUGUGGAAUUUUCGUUGCAGAUGAUAUACUUUAUGGAGUUGGCUUGUUGAAGCAGAACGUGUCGUUUUUAAGAGGGGUUUUAAGUGCUUCCUUGUUUUCGGUUGAAUUUUCUGUUCUUUGGCUUUUUCUGGUUCAUCGAUUUGUGUCUACCUAUUCUUGUUUGUAUGCAGAUGUGUUGAAGUGCAGCUAAUUAGGAGUUGAACAGUUUAAAGGAGAGCGGGUGUCCUUCUCUUAGGGGGUUCCAUUGUCUUCUGAUUAUAUUCUAUUUUCUUAGAGCGUAUAUUUUUGUGCCUUUAUUUGAGCAGAGCACUGUUUUUAUAUGCAGACAUAUUCCUACGCCUGUCUGUGUACGAGGUCCAUGCUUGUUAGCUCUGUUGUAGAACGGGCUGUUUCUAAGAUGGGGUUUGAGUGAUUAUUGGAUUAUGUAAUUUCUUAUUUUUGGUGGGUUAAUGUUACCUCCUACCAUUAUUUGAUCAGUGAUCGAUGUUUCAUAUCAGAUGCUACCUGAAUUUUUGGUCAUGAAAUCUCACUCAGUCGUUGAGCAAUUUGCUAUCUGCUUCGAAAGGGGGUUUGAUGUUUCUUGGUUUAUGCUUACCUUUCUUAUAUAUUGGAGGUUGUGAGACAUGGACCAUUAUUUGCGCAAUUUUCUGUGCAGAUGCGUUUUAGAGUUCGUAUGCGUAUGGAGUUUAACUUUGUUCAAGGAGAAAGGGGUGCUUUGAAGGGGGUUUCUUUUGAAUCUGUUUUAAAUUUCUAUAUGUCGACUCUGUAUGUGAUUCUACGCCUUGAUUUGAGCAACGCUUCUGUAUGCAGACAUUCUCUCUCUUGUCCAUAUAUGGCAACCACCGUGGAAGGAGCAGUUUGAAUAUGGGGGUUUGAGUAGUUCUUGGGUUAUUAUUUUGUUUCUUAUUCCUUUGGGUUGACGGGAGCUGAAAUAAUCAUUGCAACAAUGUUUCAUGCAGUUACAUUCCAGAUAGUCUAUUUAAGAAGUCUGUUGGAUGGAUUGGCCGACUGCUUUUGAAAAGGGGGUUUGAUGCUUCUAAGCCUGUACUCUUGUAUUCAUUAGACUAAAUACUAUAUGCGAUCGUGGACUAUCAUUUGAGCAGUUAUUUGUGCAGAUGCCUUUGUCUUUUGUCUGUUUGUGUAGUCUUUACUUCAUUAUCGGAGAGCAGCCUGAGCAGGCAGCUUUUAAGAGGGGGUUUUUGGGCUUACGUUUAUCUUUUUACUUUCUAUUUUAUUUUUUUAUUAGUACGUAGCUUGUACCUUCCUUUGAGCAAUGGUUUUUGUAUGCAGACACGUCCGGACUCUAUUUUUGUGAAAGGAGAGCGGUGGAUUUUAACAGGGGUUACCUUAUGUUUUUGUUUUAAUUGUCCGUUAUUAGACUUUGUAUGCAAUCUUGCACCAUGAGUGGGCAUUGUUUCUGUAUGCAGACAUAUUGGCGAGCAUUGGAAGGAGGGCAGUCUGAAUGGGGGUUUGAGUUCGGUUUUGGAUGUUAUUUCUUACUCGUUUGGGUUUGAUGAGAUCUGGAACUAUUAUUGGAACAAUGUUUUAUGCAGGACCUAUUCCAAAAUAGUCUGUUUAUGAAGUCUCAGAGUGUUGGAUGGCAACGGGCUGCCUGUUUUAAAGAGGGGUUUAAUAUAUCUUAGCCUAUGUCUUGAUCUCCUAUUUCUUGUGUUUUGCGAUAUUGUUUGAGCAAUUAAUUAUGCAGACGCCUUUUUGUGUCGGAUGGAGUCCAACUCAUUAUAGGAGAGCAGCCAACUUUUGAGAGGGGGUCUUUGGCUUACGGUUUUUUUUUUUUUUUUCUUUUGUUGGCGUGAUAGAGAUAUUUUAUAGUUAUUUGAGCAAUGUUUUUUGUAUGCAGACACGUCCCCACAUUAGGUUGUAUGUGGUGUGCAAGUUUAGUGGGGGAGAAUGGGCUGCUUAUGAAAGGGGGUUUCCAUAGUUUGCCUUAUGAAUUUAUUUCAAGUUUUUUGUGAGUUUUGAGAUGCUGAACCAUUAUACUCACUGUUUAUUUGCAGAUGUGUCCCAAACUUUUCUUUUGCCUCACUCAGUUGAGUGAAAAAUGGGCUGCCUGCUUUUAGGACGAAGUCAGAUACCUUUUCCCUUUUUUGUUUGUUUGUAAUUUAUUUGCUCUUAUGAGACCUCUUAUGAUUUUCAUUUUUUCUUUCUUUGUUUAUAUAUAUAUUUGCUGUAUUAUUUGUGCGUACUUUUUGUAUGCAGAGACAUCCCAGCUUCUGUCUGUGCUCAGAAGGGGUGCGAAAUGCUUUUAGAAGGGGUUUGAGUUCUUGUCUUGUUACUUGAUUUCAUAUUGGUUUGGAUACCAUUGUCUUCCACGCUAAUGCAUUUGCAGACGUUUUUAGCUUGGAGUCUUUCAUGGGGGUCUACUUUAUGGAAUUGUCCUCACAUUCGGUUUGCUAUUCAUCUGUCAGCCGUCACUUUGUUCAUUAAAAGAUUUGUCUUCAUUGGGUUUACACUUAAUUGGCUUCAUUGUCUUUUGGCACUGGUUUACGCAUCUCAGCUUGGUUUAUGUUCAAAUGUUUCAGCUUGUGUGGAUGGUGGUACUCCCUAUUGUUUGACAAACGCUGAAUUUUGUUUGGUGACUUAAAAUUCUUCAUUCGGCAUUUUUUAUUUCAGCAACGCAUUAUUCAGUUAUCUUUAAACAUAGUUACAGAGGAUAGCGGUCUGCAGCUGAUUUUAAGUUGGAUGAUGGUUCUUUUCUUAUAUUUAGUUUUCCUGUAAAGCGCCGUAAGGUCUUUUUGGUUGGUGCUUCGCUUCAUUGAAUCCUAGAGGAGUAUGAGCUGCUUCUAAGAUGGAGUUUGUUACUUGAUGGCUUUUAUUUUCAAGAUGGCACUCUACGUGGACCGAAGUCAUGGAUUGUGGUUUUGUUUCAACAACUAUGUUUGUGUCGUGCUGUGGUCCUGUGCAGAAUAAUGUCAAGUCUCAUGGGGUUGGGCUGGAUUCAAUAUCUUCUACUUUCCUUGGCCAGAGAUUUCUUCCGGGAGUUGCUUUUAAUUUAAGAGGUUCAUGCUUUCUGUCCUAUCAAGUUAUCGUUUAAUUUGCCAUCUGUAAGAGUUCAUAAUAUCCAGGCAGCUAUGUAUGUCGAUGCAUUCCGCAAGGCAUUUGUUAGAAACUUAGAGGGGGUGUUUAACGUGCUUACUAUCUGGCAGCAGUGUUUGGGAUAUAUGAUUAUGCAUUGAGGAGCUUAUUUCUUUUUCUUGAAUGAGUAUCAUGUUGAAGUUGAUGGAACUGACCGUAGAAGAUGUUGUGGAGUCGGGUUUUAUCCUAUUCAGACUUUAUUAUUUCCCUGUUUCUCAUCGAUCAUCUCUUUAGUUUCCCUUAUGUACUUUGUCAUUAGUGUUGGUAUUACUUAUGCAGAUGUAACUUUGGUGAGGUCUUGCUUGAUUUCAAGUUUUGAUGAUGGAAAUAAAAGUGGUAUAAAUGUCCUUUUUCCCUUUUGUAUUGAAGUUUCGCAAUCUCGUAUCAUGAAUUUAUUAUCACUGUCCAAUUCAGUUUUUAUUUUUUUAUUUUUAUUUUUUAAAUCUGAUCCUCGUUUGGCUUUAGAUCCGGUUUAUUGUCGACGUGGAAGCUGUGCAGGUUGCAUUUUAAAAUUUAAUGCAACUGUCGUGAUUUUAUAUGUGCAAUGUCAUAGUGUUGCUGGAUUAAUAUUUUUAACUUAUUGAAAAUGGUGAAUAUUCUUAAUUGUGGGCUAAUUUGGAAAGCAGCUAAAUGAAGGGCAUCAAUUAUUUUAUAGUGUGGUGAUCUGUAUCUGCAAUUCGAAUAUAUUGCUUGGAAUAUAAUGCUAAAACAAGGGCAAAGCAUGUUAGCUGAAUGAAGGAAUUCUUAUAUCGAAUUGUAAGUAAGUCCACUGUCUGAUUUUGUUUAAACUCUUGUUGCUAGACACAUAAUUUUAUUUGUUUCGUGUUUUAAUUGUUGUUACAGGCGCAUGAUAUUUCGAUACAAUAACAUGAUGUAUUUUAGUCAAAAACUACACUUUUUAUAUUUGUAACGUUACGUGUUCUAAUUCGGCACAAUAGUUUUGAGUUUAUUUCAGUGGAUUCGUAUGACAAUUAUCUGAUAUAUAAGAGGUCUGGCAUUAGUUGUUAGUCAUCUGCCCUUGGUAUUGCUGCUGCUAAAUUUGGGUGUUGUUAGGAUAGAGGAGAUUUUCGCUGAUCAAGUUGUGUGUAGUGCUCGAAUAUGUUUAGCCGCAUGAUUUGUAAUUAUGUCUCUAGUUGUUACGGCUCUUCGGUGUUUUCGUCCUGCAUUUAGAGAUGUCUUUUAGGGGUAUAACAUGCAAAAAAUAAAACUUAAAAAGAGUAAAUGAGAAAUUGUCCGGAUCGUUUCUUUUCCUCUCGUGUCCAAUCGUUUGUUAUAGUCUGUUGUGUGUGCAUUUGUUGUUAGGUUAGGUUAGGUUAG